AGAAAAUGUCAAUUGUCAAUUAUGUCACUUCAAAACCAUAAGGUGUAAAUGUUUUGAAUAUUUUAAAUAGAAAUAAAAUUUGAAGUUUUGCAACCAUAAUUUAAUCAUCGGUUUUUCUUAAUGUGAACUUAUAAUUUUUAAUAUAAAAAUAUUUAAAUAUACCAUGGCUGUAUAGUUACAACUUUUGCAUUCUAUGUAUUGAAAAAAAUUAUUGACAACAGUCAGACCAUCUGACAAAUGUCACAAGUCUGUGUAUUAAAUGUUAUUUUUGACAGAUUUUUUUUCAGAGGUAAAGAAUUAUGUAAAGGGUGCGAAUAUCCGCUCUCGGAGAAUAUUUCCUUGUUUACAAGAAGAUAGUGUAUUCAAUUUCAUAAUCUUGUUACUAUGACAAAUAAAAUGGCUAAAGAUACGAAGGAUGUCGAUGAGUACUCCACUAAACUGGACAUGUGUCUUACUGAUGGUAUUAUAAAAACAGGUAGUGGUGUCGUUCUCGGAGCUCUGUCGUCAGUUCUAUUUCUCGGUAGGCGAAAGUGGCCUAUCAUUGCUGGUAUGGGCAUGGGAAUAGGAAUUGCAUAUGCAAAUUGUGAAAAUGAAAUAAAUCCAAAAAAGAAAAAUACUGCAUAGAACUUAGGUUUCCGCAAUAACA